rnacentral:rRNA from 1 species
AAUGAACGCUGGCGGCGUGCCUUAUACAUGCAAGUCGAGCGCGAAAGUGACCUUCGGGUCGCGAGUAGAGCGGCGAACGGGUGAGUAACAGGUGGGUAAUCUGCCCUAGAGUGGGGAACAACUUGGGGAAACUCGAGCUAAUACCGCAUACGUCCGUGGGAUUACGAUCCUGCGGGGAAAGACAGCCUCUUCUUGAAAGCUGUCGCUCUUGGAUGAGCCCGCCCCGGAUUAGCUAGUUGGUGGGGUAAUGGCCUACCAAGGCAACGAUCUGUAGCCGGCCUGAGAGGGCGAUCGGCCACAUUGGAACUGAGACACGGUCCAG